rnacentral:rRNA from 1 species
AUUGAACGCUGGCGGCAUGCCUUACACAUGCAAGUCGAACGGCAGCACGGGAGCAAUCCUGGUGGCGAGUGGCGAACGGGUGAGUAAUAUAUCGGAACGUGCCCAGUCGUGGGGAUAACGUAGCGAAAGCUACGCUAAUACCGCAUACGAUCUAUGGAUGAAAGCGGGGGAUCGCAAGACCUCGCGCGAUUGGAGCGGCCGAUAUCAGAUUAGGUAGUUGGUGAGGUAAAGGCUCACCAAGCCGACGAUCUGUAGCUGGUCUGAGAGGACGACCAGCCACACUGGGACUGAGACACGGCCCAGACUCCUACGGAGGCAGCAGUGGGGAAUUUUUGGACAAUGGGCGCAAGCCUGAUCCAGCAAUGCCGCGUGCAGGAUGAAGGCCU